UACAGAGGUCUCAAGCGUUAAUCGGAAUUACUGGACUUAAAGGGUCCGCAGGCGGACCAGCAAGUACCUUGUGAAAUCUCAGGUCUCAACCCUGAGUCUGCUAGGUAGACUGCUGGUCUUGAGUGCAAAAGGGGUCGCUGGAACUCUAGGUGGAGCGGUGAAAUGCGUAGAUAUCUAGAGGAACGCCAAAGGUGAAGACAGGCGACUGGUUUGCAACUGACGCUCAUGGACGAAAGCGUGGGGAUCAAACGGG
rnacentral:rRNA from 1 species